rnacentral:tRNA from 1 species
GAGACUUUAAGUUAAAUUUAACAAACUUAUAGCCUUCAAAGUUAUAUAUAUCUAAAGACGGGGUAAGUCUUA